UCGUGGCCACAGUUCCCUCCUUUGGGCAUAGAGGGGGCUGGACUAGAAGCACGUGCUCAGUGGAACUGGGCCUCACAGGUGGAAUCAAAGGGUUCUGUGGCCUAAUAAAUCUGGGCCCAGAGGUUC